rnacentral:rRNA from 1 species
UUGGCUUAGAAGCAGCCACUCAUUAAAAGAGUGCGUAAUAGCUCACUGGUCGAGUAGUUGUGCGCCGAAGAUGUAACGGGGCUAAAACACGUCACCGAAGCUUUGGAAUUGCCGCAAGGCAAUUGGUAGAGGAGCAUUGUGUGCUGGGAGAAGCAGUACCGAGAGGAGCUGUGGACGGCACAGAAGAGAGAAUGCCGGUAUAAGUAGCGCGAGGCAUGCGAGAAACAUGCCCGUCGAUAGCCUAAGGUUUCCUGGGGAAGGCUCGUCCGCCCAGGGUAAGUCGGGACCUAAGCCGAGGACGGAAGUCGUAGGCGAUGGACAGCAGGCAGAGAUUCCUGCACUACCGAAGAUCGUUUGAGUGAAGCAGUGACACAGAAGGAUAGCCUGAGCAGGGUAAUGGUCAUCCCUGUACAAGCGGUGAGGCUGGUGAGUAGUGAAGUACGCUCGCUAAGGCUGGGCCGUGAUGUGGAGUGAAAUUAGAAGUAGCGAAGCAGGUGAUUUCACACUGGCGAGAAAAGCUGCUGGCGAGAUCGGAGGUACCCGUACCGCAAACCGACACAGGUAGGCAAGGAGAGAAUCCUAAGACGAACGGGAGAACACUUGUUAAGGAACUCGGCAAAAUGACCCCGUAACUUCGGGAGAAGGGGUGCUGCAGAGAUGCAGCCGCAGAGAAGAGUCCCAAGCGACUGUUUAGCAAAAACACAGGUAUCUGCGAAAGCGAGAGCUGACGUAUAGGUGCUGACACCUGCCCGGUGCUGGAAGGUUAAGGGGAACUGUUAGAGCAAUCGAAGCAGAGAACCGAAGCCCCAGUAAACGGCGGCCGUAACUAUAACGGUCCUAAGGUAGCGAAAUUCCUUGUCGGGUAAGUUCCGACCCGCACGAAUGGUGUAACGAUCUGGGCACUGUCUCAACUACCCACCCGGCGAAAUUGUAGUACCGGUGAAGAUGCCGGUUACCUGCGGCAAGACGGAAAGACCCCAUGGAGCUUUACUGUAGCCUGAUAUUGGGUUUCGGAAAUCUAUGUACAGGAUAGGCGGGAGACUUGGAAACAUGAGCGUCAGCUUGUGUGGAGUCGAUGUUGGGAUACCGCCCUUAGGUUUCUGGAAUUCUAACCUGCGGCCGUGAAUCCGGUCGGGGGACAUUGUCAGGUGGGCAGUUUGACUGGGGCGGUCGCCUCCGAAAAGGUAACGGAGGCGCUCAAAGGUUAGCUCAGCACGGACGGAAACCGUGCCUCUGAGUGUAAACGCAAAAGCUAGCCUAACUGCGAGGGUGACGGCCCGAGCAGUAACGAAAGUUGGAGUUAGUGAUCCGGCGGUAUGUGAAUGGAAAUGC